rnacentral:lncRNA from 1 species
CUUUCAAUGAAUUUCAUUUCUUAUUUAAACGUGGUAAUCCUCUUGAAAAUUUGUCACUUAUUCAUCGAUACUCAAAAACUGAACUUUCACCAACUGAAUACUCACCAUGUAGUGGCUUAAUGCUUUUUGCUGGAUUUUACCUCGAGAAAGGAACCCUGAGGAAGGAGGGCUGAAUUUCGAAUACUUCGUACAACUACUUUUCUGAAACGGCUGCAGGUUAGGAAAAAAAUUUUAAUCGCCUCUUUCAAUUUAGGUUUUUAUUUUUCAUGUUUAUAUUCGUAUUUCAUUGUUAUGUUUUUAUUGCAUUGUCCGGAAAGUUCGUUCCGAUUUUUAAAGGAAAGUAAAGGUCACUAAAUACUUGCCAUUACAUUUUUAAUUAACCAAAUCUGAACCAUUUCGUUGCAGAAUACUUCUCCAUCUUUCCUUUACCUUGAAGAUACCCUCCUCCCAGAAUUGGGGUGGUUUCAAGGCAAAGAAUUCAUCAAGGUAUCUUUUUACGUCAUCUAAGGAAUUGAAAUUUUACCAUUAAGACUAUUCUGCGGAGACCUGAAUAAGUGGAAACCUGAAGGAGCAAUAUCUGGGGAAUAGGGAGGGUGGGGCUAACACAUCUCAGCCGAGCUGCAGCAAUUUUUGUCUGGUUCCCAAAGCAUCAAGUGCCGAAAAUGAACUUUCUCAUCUUUUAUUUUAAAGGGUUACAGAAUUAACACAGGUUAUAGGAACAUAAACUUUCUUCCACGAAAAGAUAGCUUAAACUGUGCUCUAAAUGGAGGUGUAGUCAAAUCCUAUUUUAUGGACUCAAACAUGUUCUAAAAUAAGUCGAAAGAUAAGCUACUAUGAAUCGGCACGAACUUUCCGGACAACCCAAUAUUUCUAUAUUUUUAUCAUGAAACUCUUAACAUAAAUGUGUGUAUAUUCGUAUGGAAUAAUACCUCAUGUGCUACAUCUGAAUUUUCUUGUCUGAAUGCUUUAAGACAAAUAUCCGAAAUUUUUAUCGUAUACCACAUUUUAUUAAUACUUAGCUCAUAUACGGAGACAAAAAUGUUGUACUAUAUACUACAGGUUAUCUCCAUUAAAAUUCUCGUAUUAUAUAUAUAUAAUAUACACACUGGCGAAAAUAAAUUUAAGACUGAUGAUAAAAAUUCUAUUUCUUACAAAAUAUUCUGUUACUAGUCCUUGGCCGAUCUUUAUAUUGACCAGUCUCCGAGUAUAACUUCCACGCUUGCACGCAAGCCGGUUUACUUCACUUUAGUUGCUUGCUGAUGUUCGAAAAGGAAACUUUUUGCUGUAAUAUACGAUUUUUGCUCUCGUGACUGGACUAAGGCUACGUUGUUUUCCCAUUAUUAAUAAAUUGUAUAAUAACAUUAAAUUAUAACUUUAUAUGGUGCAUUUAGGCUCGUUGUGGGACCAUCCAUUUUGGCCAAAAAAAUUGCAUACAUAUUACAUGCUCUUAAACUAAUUUUGCCGGUAAAUUUGAAACGUUUAUAUUACGUUCUGAGUUCAAAUUCUGCCGAGGUCCACUUUGCCUUUCAUCCUUUUGGGGUCGAUGAAUUAAGUACCAGUUACGCACUGGGGUCGAUGUAAUCGACUUAAUCCGUUUGUCUGUCCUUGUUUGUCCCCUCUAUGUUUAGCCCCUUGUGGGCAGUAAAGAAAUAUAUAUUAAUUUAGCAUUAGAAUUCUUCAAGUUGUAUAAAAAUUGUUUGCAUCAUUCGAAAGAGAAAUAAAUUUUGCAUAAGGUGUAAAUGAUAUAAAUAAUUUUUAUGGUGUUAGUAACAAAAUAUUUUGUAAGAAAUAGAACUUUUAUCGUUGGUCUUAAAUAUAUUUUCGCCGGUGUAUAUAUCUCAGGUCAUCCCAUAAGUUCUGUCCGAAUUUUGGAUAGAGAAUCCAAGUGAUCAAAUGUUAUAUUUAAUUGAAAGUUAAUCAUAAAUGUACUUUCCCUGAUUAUCUAAGACUUACUUCCAUCCAUUUACAAGUUUUUUAAUCCCAUCAAUGUAAAACUCUUUUGGUUUCAAAGCGAAGAACUCUGAAAUGUCAGGUUCGAUCUCCUCCUGGCUUGCGAAAGUUGUGACCCCCUAAUAAUUCUGUAAACUAUGAAACAAAUGGUAUCCUGAAGGAGUAAGGUCGGGAGAAUAAGUUGGAUGAAGAAAUUUUUCCAAACCGACCUUUUCGAUCUUCUGUAAUGUGAUCUUUGCAGUGUGGGGUUGCGCAUUGUCCUGAUGAAAUAUCACUCGUUUUCGACUCACUAAAGCGGUUCUUUUUUCAUUCAAAGCUUGGUUCAAACGCUCUAAUUGCUGACAGUAGACUUGAGCAUUGAUUGUUGCAUUUUGUGGUAACAAUAUAAAGUGAAUUACGCCUUUGCAUUCGCACCAGAUAGAGUAGAACCUUUUCCCCAUGAAGUUCCCUUCUCGGUUGUGGUUGAGCAUUUUCCCUUUUACCAAGCCACUGUUUACGACGUUUAACAUUUCGAUAGAAAAUCCAUUUUUCGUCACAAGUCUAUCGAAAAAGGGUGAAAUGAGUUUGCGAGAAUGAAGAAAAGAGCAGAUGUCAACUUUGGAUUUGCGGUUGUUUUCGGACAAUACAUGAGGCACCUAUUUUCCAAGUUUGGGAACCUUUCCACGUUGUUGAAGAACUGUUGUAUGGUUUGAAGUAAGCUUUAUUGCCAAUUCUUCAACUGAUAAUGACGGAUUUUCUUCAAGUAAUGCCUCAAGGAGUUUAUCAUCAAACUCAACUGGACAUCCUAUUCGAUCUUUAUCUUCAAUUUUGCAAACGAUCUCCUGCAAGUUCUUUCAUUCAAACACUUUCCCAUAAACUGGGUGUAUGUUUCGAGUCACUUCGGCUGCAGAGUUACCUUUAUUGUACUCAUAAAGAAUUAUAUGUGCCUUAAAUGCUCCUUGGAUACUUCCAUGUUGAAAGGGGUUUAAUCAAAGCAAUUUUAGGGUGUCCACGAAGUCUGGGUACAUGGAAUAAAAUCAUAACAUAAACAAAUAUAAGAAAUAAUAAUUUUCGUUUUUUACUUUUCUUUCAAUUAAAUAAAAAAAUACUUUACUUUUCUAAAUUUAUUUGUUAUUUUUUCUACAGAUGAUCGAAUGAUAGCUCUGUCUAAAGAAGAAAGAAUCCCAGAUCGAAUGAUAGAUCUGUCUAAAAAAGAAAGAAUCGAGUUAGUAUUAUUAAGUGAAUCUUCGACACCCUUAUAGGUAACCUAUUUUUUUUACUGCCGUCGGGAAAUUGAUCAAGAAAUUUAAAGAAACAGGCAGUGUUUUGGAUAAACCCCGUUCCGGGUGACCAAAGACUUCAGAUGAAACGAAAGAGGCUGUCAUUGCUAAAGUUUCUACUAGCCCAAAGAAAUCACUUCGUCGGACAUCCACGGUGUUAGGUGUUCCAAAACCAACCAUCCACAAAAUGCUGGUUGAGGAAAAGUUUCAUCGAUACAACCUACAGAUAUUGCAUCACUUAAACGAAGACGACUCUGAUAGACGAAUGUAGACGUGCGAAUGGUUUUCAGAUAAAUUGGAUGAAAAUAUCAAUUUUACGAAAAACUAUGUGUUGUUCGGUGACAAAGCUACGUUUUAUGUAAAUUAUGAGUUCAACAGACAGAAUCUUCUAUACUGGUCUCGAGGUAAUCCACAUUGGAUGGAUCCAUCCAAACAGCAAGGCAGCAAAAAGGUGAUGGUGUGGUGUGGUUUGUGGAAAGCUCAUGUUCUAGGACCCUUCUUCAAUGAAAAUGUAACGGAUGAGACUUAUGUAAACAUAUUGAAAGACAAAUUAAUAUCUGAAAUUGAGCGCCUAGGUGAGGACCUUCCGAAUUGGUUUCAGCAGGAUGGAGCCCCUACCCAUUUUGCCACAACUGUUAGAGAUUGGCUAAAUGACACUUUUCCUCACUGGAUUGGAAGAAGGGCUCAUAUGGAAAGGUCCCCUCGUUCACCAGACCUUUCUCCCCUUGAUUUCUUUUUCUGGAGUAUGUUGAAAGAGAAAGAUUACAAUAAAGAUUACAGAUUUAAAACACAUAAGAGAACGCAUUACCAGUCAGUGUGCUGAAAUUGGUGGCAAUGUAGACUUAUUUAAUCAAGUUCACCUGAAUUUUGCAAGGUGCAUCAAGUUAUGCAUUGAAAAAUGAUGGAAAUCAUUUUGAAAAUAUUAUUUAUUAUCAUUAUAAUUAAAUAAAAUCGGUUUGUUUUAAAAGUAUGUGUUAAUCGUACACAAAUGCAUAAAAAUAAUUUUUAAUUGAAUUAGACAUUUGAAAAUACUAUUAAAUUUCAUUCAAAUCUUUAAAAAAAGGUAAAAUUGGACAGAACUGAUUGGAUGACUUGAUAUAUAUAAUCUAUGAUAUUCUAGUAGGUUUCAAGUUUAUAACACCUUGAUAUCUCACGUUAUCUUAUUUUAUAUGCCUAAGACGUUUAUUUUCUAUUCUGGUUUUUAUAUAUUUCUAUACAUUAUAUUUUAUCUUCCACCGGUGUGUGUAAUCGAUGGUGACAUGUGCGAUGAUUUUGCGACUAUCUUAUAUUUUACAGAGAAAUUGGAAGCCCCGA